rnacentral:rRNA from 1 species
GUACACACCGCCCGUCACACCAUGGGAGUGGGUUGCACCAGAAGUAGCUAGCCUAACCUUCGGGAGGGCGCCGACCACGGUGUGGUCAAUGGCUGGGGUGAAGUCGUAACAAGGUAGCCGUAGGUGAACCUGCAGAAGGAUCA